UACGAAGGGUGCAAGCGUUACUCGGAAUCACUGGGCGUAAAGCGUGCGUAGGCGGUUCGUUAAGUCUGUUGUGAAAGCCCUGGGCUCAACCUGGGAACUGCAGUGGAUACUGGCGAGCUAGAGUACGGUAGAGGAAGGUGGAAUUCCCGGUGUAGCGGUGAAAUGCGUAGAGAUCGGGAGGAACACCAGUGGCGAAGGCGGCUCACUGGCCCGAUACUGACGCUGAGGCACGAAAGCGUGGGGAGCAAACGGG
rnacentral:rRNA from 1 species